GCCGGGAUGGCGGAACUGGCAGACGCGCGGGACUCAAAAUCCCGUGGGCUUCGGCCCGUGCGGGUUCGACCCCCGCUCCCGGCA
rnacentral:tRNA from 2 species